GCACUAUAAACAUAUAUUGGGUUAAAAAUUUAACAUACUAACAAAAACAGAUUAGCAAAUACAAUCAGAUGCCUACAUGUCAUAGCGAUCCACUCCGUCGAAAAAGGGAGGUCGAAAACAUAUAUAAAACUAUUAAAGUAAAGGAGUUUAAGUAAUGCAAGUAAACACAGGAUUUUUGUUACACAACGACACUUAAAUAGUAGCCUCCAUAGUUCUAGGGGAAAGCAACACUCCCGAUUAACUGUAUGUACCUGAGAACCGAAUCAGAUCUCGAUGUCUUUAUGAGACACUUGUCUGCUUCUUAUAACUUUCAACUGUGGACAAAUAGACACCCAAGUGAUGACGUGUCAUU